UGAGUAACCUGCCCUUAACUCUGGGAUAAGCCUGGGAAAACUGGGUCUAAUACCGGAUAUGACUCCUCAUCGCAUGGUGGGGGGUGGAAAGCUUUAUUGUGGUUUUGGAUGGACUCGCGGCCUAUCAGCUUGUUGGUGAGGUAAUGGCUCACCAAGGCGACGACGGGUAGCCGGCCUGAGAGGGUGACCGGCCACACUGGGACUGAGACACGGCCCAGACUCCUACGGGAGGCAG
rnacentral:rRNA from 1 species